AGUCGAGGGGUAACAGGUCUUCGGACGCUGACGACCGGCAAACGGGUGCGGAACACGUACGCAACAUACCCUUUACAGGGGGAUAGCCCGGAGAAAUCCGGAUUAACACCCCAUAGUAUAUUUGAGAGGCAUCUCUCGAUUAUUAAAAAUUUAUUGGUAAAGGAUUGGCGUGCGUCCCAUUAGAUAGUUGGCGGGGUAAUGGCCCACCAAGUCAGCGAUGGGUAGCUGGUGUGAGAGCACGACCAGCCACACGGGCACUGAGACACGGGCCCGACUCCUACGGGAGGCAGCAGUGAGGAAUAUUGGUCAAUGGACGCAAGUCUGAACCAGCCAUGCCGCGUGGAGGAUGACAGCCUUCUGGGUUGUAAACUUCUUUUAUAUGGGAAGAAAAGUACGGUUUCUACUGUAUCCGACGGUACCAUAUGAAUAAGCACCGGCUAACUCCGUGCCAGCAGCCGCGGUAAUACGGAGGGUGCAAGCGUUAUCCGGAUUUACUGGGUUUAAAGGGUGUGUAGGCGGAUAUUUAAGUCAGAGGUGAAAUCUCCGGGCUCAACCCGGAAACUGCCUUUGAUACUAUUUAUCUUGAAUUUCGUUGAGGUUGGCGGAAUAUAUCAUGUAGCGGUGAAAUGCAUAGAUAUGAUAUAGAACACCGAUUGCGUAGGCAGCUGGCUGAACGAACAUUGACGCUGAGGCACGAAAGCGUGGGUAGCGAACAGGAUUAGAUACCCUGGUAGUCCACGCCCUAAACGAUGAUUACUCGACAUACGCGAUACACAGUGUGUGUCUG
rnacentral:rRNA from 1 species